rnacentral:tRNA from 1 species
GCCGAGAUGGCGAAAUGGUAGACGCGCACGCUUGAGGUGCGUGUGGGGCAACCCAUGGAGGUUCAAGUCCUCUUCUCGGCA